CAGAGUACCACAUUAAAGUAACAAGGCGCGGGCAAUGAGUUAUCAGCGCCGUUUUUCUCUUGUUUCUUUUUGUUUUUCUAUAAGUUGUGAAGAGGACACGCAUGAACUGACUGAGGGGAGAAAUAGUUCCUUGUUUUUUGGAGUGGGGGGCUUUGCUGCAGAUGACCUCCUCUGGAACAACACUGACUAUUCAUGAAUUGGUCCAUUCAUAAUAGGCUUUUAUUAAUUGUCCUCAACAAACUUCUUACACAACUUUGGAGAAGAAGCAAAAAUAACAACAAUGGGCGCAAAUUACGCACGCCCACGCUGAGCGCCUGGAGCGUGGGCCUUCCGAGAGCGAACCGGUGGCUCUAAUUUUGACAUGAAAAAGCAUCGGAGCGUUGCGAGGAGAUAAUAAAACUCCAGUUUCAGAAAUUGCUCCGUGAAAAGGGGUCGCCGUUUGGAGGGCUCGGGACUCCCGAUCCCCGUCUACCCCUCGUGCGCGCACUGGAGACGCCUUUGAGUUUCAUCCAGGAAAUGUCCCGUCGUAAUUAUCUGUUUCCGGGGAUAAUAAUAGACCAAUGCUUUUGAAUGGGGGCUAGCCUGACGUGGCCGCAGACACGUCCCAGGCCUCCCAGCCGCUCUCUGGGGACUUUGAUGGUCCCACAGUGGACGACAUGCACAUUUUCACGGCUUGCUGCAAGGUGUCACAUGAUGAGGAGAUCAAACGGCACAUGGCAUUGAACGUCCCAAGACUGGAAUGUUUACCUUUGACAAAGAGCAACGGGAAAAACAGUCUGGUUCUGUCAGGAGCUACUCACGCCCACAUAUAUACGCAAGCACACACUGACACAUACACAAACACGCAUGCUGGUCCCCCAGAUUCACUUAAGGUGAUUUAAACCUUGCCCUCUUGAGGGCGUCGGGAGAGGCGGGUGGAGGGGGGAGGAUUCCACGACAGAAGGGAUGAGAAAAACAAGGCUGUUUGCAAUCACACCCACUCAAGGAACGCACACCUGCACGAGCGCUGACGCUGAAAGUUCUCUGAGGUUUACAUACAGCACUGUGCAAAAGUUUUACAUCCACUUAAUGUGUUUAGAUUCUCAUCUGUCACACAUUAACACCAUCAGCACGUGUUUGUUAUUAAUCAGGCAACAUCUGUGGCAUGAUGACACAGGAGUACUGCAACAGAUGGUCUGGCCCCCACAGUACUCUCUCCAUGAGUCAGUCCAGGAUUACAUGAGAAUACGAUAACAAAUUCAACAAAGUCAUCCCAAAGGACCCAACAAGAAACACCGUGCAAGAGGAAAAUGCAUGCUGCCUUAUAGUCAAAGGCUGUUCACAGUAAAUAUUGAUUGAAUAACAUGUUGUUUUUUUCUCUUUUUUACAAAAUUAUGAGAUUUAUACUUGUCUUUUAUUUACUCUGUUCAGCUCUUUUCAACAUUGUAUUAAUUGUCAGUCAGCUGUGCAGGACCUGGAAUCACCCUAAUCUCAAAUCCAAGCUUUUGUUGAGACAAAAGCUUCUAUACAAAUAAAGUUAUAUAAACGAAUUCUGAAAACACAGACUGCAUAUAACAGAGGAACGUAACUUUCAGCUAUGAAAAAUGAAAAGAACGUGG
ensembl:lncRNA